GACAAAAGUUUGUUAACCAUAUCAUGGAUCAGUCAUGUAGGCCCAAUAGGGAUAGGCCCAUUAUAUAUUCUCCUUUAUAAAUUCGGUAGCUUUGUAGCUGUAAGAAAAAGAUGUAUAAGUGAGUCCAAAUGUACAAUACCCGGGUCCAACAAUAAGAAAUGGGACACACUAUAAUGUAAAGGAACUCAAUUCAUUUUUAGCUCUUAGCUUUUCAUGAAAUAAAAAAACAGAUUGUUUCUCUCUCUCUCAAGCUAGGUUUUGUUCAUUUCAUUUCACAAAUAGAUUCGGACAUACGAAUCUAACAUGGUAUCAGAGCAAUGGAAUAGAUCCAUCUCGUCACCAGCUAUCGUCCGAUUGUACCCUUCGCCGAAGUUUUUAAAGUUUUAUGUUCCGAGGUUUCUUCUCAGAUGGUGAAAUUUUUGGGGAUUUUUCGUGUUUUCUCUCCUUCAACACUCAGAGGUCCUUUCUCUUUCACUAUUUGACAAAAAUAUCUGGUACUUUGCGACAGCCAGGCAGCCCUUCAUAUUGCCAAGAACCCCAUCUUUCAUGAGCACACAAAGCAAAUUGAUAUUGAUUGUCAUUAUGUGAGGGAUUGUCUUCACUCUGGGCUGAUUUCUCUUCAGCAUGUUUCAUCCUCUGCACAACUUGUUGACAAUCUGACCAAAUCCCUUCAGGGCCCUCUUCAUCAUUCUCUCCUUGGCAAGCUUGGAGUGUUCUUCGGCUUGGGGGUGGGGUGUUAACCAUAUCAUGGAUCAGUCAUGUAGGCCCAAUAAGGGAUAUGCCCAGUUGUAUAUUCUCCUUUAUAAAUUCUGUAGCUUUGUAGCUGUAAGAAAAAGAUGUAUAAGUGAGUCCAAAUAUACAAUACCCGGGUCCAACAAUAAGAAAUGGGACAUUCUAGAAUGUAAAGGAACUCAAUUCAUUUUUAGCUCUUAGCUUUUCAUGAAAUAAAAAAACAGACCGCUUCUCUCUCUCUCAA